GUAGGUGAACCUGCGGAAGGAUCAUUAACGUAUCACCGGCAGAGAGCGAUCCCUGCUCCGGCGCGAGCCGUGCAGCGGGAGAGCGAUCCGUCCGAACCUUUUCAAACCCCGUGCACUUUGACGGCGGACGGGCGCGCUCCGAGCGAAAGCUUUGGGCGUUCCCCGAAGCCGUACCAAACAAACACCUUGAAACUCGAAUGUCAUGCGGCCUAAGCGUCGCCUAAACUUACGAAACAACUUUCAACAACGG
rnacentral:misc_RNA from 1 species